GUUAGAAGAAGGUGCUAGAUCCCCUGGAAUUGGAGUUCCAUCAUGUGGGUGCUGAGAAUCAAAUCCAGGUCCUGUACAAGAGUAAGAAGUGCUUUUAACCACUGAACUAUCUCUACAGACCGAAGAAAUAUUUGAUCUCUGCUUAAAUUAAGAGUUCAUGAUCUAGUUGGACUGGACUGUCUUCAACCCCUCUCAGCAUUAAGGUGACAAGCAUGUGCCAGUUCCUCAAAAGAAGAUCAAAGUGUGGGCGCAGCGGUAGAGACUCUGUAUUGACAUCCGUUCAGGCGCAAUUGCCGGGCUGCUUUGAAGGUAUCUGCUGGAAGGAGGCUGGCAGUUUUUGGAACGAGCUGGCAGCUGUGGUGUGGGAGUGGUAGGACAAGGUGAAACAGGUUACCUGCCCAGUGGAGGUAGCUGUGAACUGGAAGCUUCCCAGCAUCAUUCUCAGCAGUGACAGGAACUCUUUGUCCUCAUAGUCAAAGCGGUCCCCGAAAACGAUGGAGCUAAUGACGUUGGAAACUGUUCUGCUCAGGUAGAAGGUAGGGUCAAUGAGAGCACCUGUAGGUAAGGAGGAGAACGGAGAGCGAGACACUGGAGCUAGGAAAAGGGCUUCCACCGGAAGAGAAUUCAAAAUGAGCACUGGCUGUCUGGCUGAGUCCGCCAACUCCUCCAAAACCGGACAGCGGGACCAGGACGCUCUUCCCUAGCUUAGUUCCCAUCCUAGAUCUUGGUACUGUUUUUCCAAGGGUGUCUUCCCCUUGGUCAGUCCUGAGAACUUGCGGAGCUCUGCUUACCGUUUGUCUUCCGGAAUGUCUCCAGGAGAAAGCCCGCCUCCUCUUGGAUGCGCUCCUCAAUGCCACGCUUACCCACACCGAAGUCUCGCAGUGUGGCGAUGGAGAAGCGCCGCAGCUGCUUAGCGCGCUCCCCGCUGCUGAAGGCAACGCCUGGAAAGGAGAGUGAGAGGCGGGAGAGGUCAGAGAAGAGGGAUGUGGCUGACUACUUACCACCCUUGCUCUGUUCCCCAAGAGCGAGUUAGAGAACAGAAGAAAGAGGGAGACAGAGGAGGACAGAUGCCAGAGGCGCAGAGACAGAGGGACAGGGCAGAGGCUAGAGAAGGGAGACUGUGGAGAUUUGGGGGUGGAUACAGUUGUGAAAGAUUUAUAAUUGAACUAGGGAAGAGAGGGAAAUAAGGAGAGAGGGACAAAGAGAGUCUGGGAAAAGGCGAGAUUGCAGCUUGGAUACUGGGUUGGGAACAGAGUUCUGUGAUGCUCUGACAGUGGAAGAAGACAGCAGUGGAGAAGAGAGAGAAUCACAGAAGCUAAGAGCAAUGGGGUAGAGGGGAGCCUGUUAGAGGCACAGGAUUUAGAUAGAGAAAUCUCAAGGUGCAAGAGGAGGUGUGGGUGGCGUGUGUGAGGCAGGGGUCAGGAGACACAGGCGGAGAGAGACAGGAAGAUUAGGAUGCAAUGGGUCCUAGAACUGGCCCAGCAGGAGGCAGCGAUGUGGACAAAAGAGUCCCUGAGAAGGCGGGAAACUGAUGCCUUCCAAUUGUUCCCUGCCACAUUCCCCUGCAUCUUGUCCCCCUCACCAUAGCCUUUGAAGAGCCAGUCAAAGGUGGCUUGUUCGCCACGCCCACUGAAUUCCUCAGCUUGGUCCACCAGAGCCUCCUUGACUGCUUCCUGUCCACAUAGUACCACAAUUCGGCGAGGCCCCAGGUAGAUGGUGAACACGGGACCGUAGCGUUCGCUGAUCUGAUAGAGGAGGAUGAGCAAAGUAAGAGGAAAGAGGUCAGAACUUGGUGACAGGUCUGGGAUUCAUUUCUCUGGAGUUCUAACAGCUACCAGAUGGGAUGCCCCAAGAUGUGGUCUCACAUGCCUAUGAGUUGGUUGCUGACUCUUCACAAUUCUACCAGCCUAAAAUUACACCCCCUAGGGUCAAUACCCUACCACAAAGCCUCUAUCAAAACUGGGCAUCCCUAUGUGCCCCAUUCUACCCUUCACACUGCCCAGUGGCACCUUCAUGAGGGAGUUGUACAUCUGCUCUGUGUUCAGCUGAAGGUAGUUUCCGAUGAAGGGCAGUGGGGUGGGUCCUGGAGGCAGCUUCCCUGAAAAUUUCCUCUGCUUCCAGACAGACAUGAAGACCAGGACAAUAAGGAAGGCCAGCACAGUCACCAGGAGCAGUCCCGAGGCCAGCAUGGUGGCGAUGAGGGUGACAGACAGCUGGUGAAGGCUGCAGUAGUUUGCUUUUAUACAUCCUGAGGUAGAAGGUGGCCUUUGGCCUUGAUUAUGCAACUGUCUCAUUUCACCUCCAGACUACCACCCCCCAUCACGCAACUAGCUUGAGACAAGGUCAACAACUGAGGAGGAAGAGGAGGGCCCAUGAGGGAUUAACAGGGAGUGGACUGAAUUUAUGACAUCUGAGGAGGAAGUACUCUAAGACUAUGCGUUACAGAGGAAAGGGACAGUAGACAGAAGCCAGAACUGAAUCCUUCAUGACAUUUGUAUUGGAGACCCUUCUGAGCUCUGGGUGUGGGUUCUCAUUGGCUUGAAACAGAAUGUACAGCUAUGAGUUUGGAAGUUCAUUUUCUUCCUUGUCUGAGACAAGUUCUCACUAUGUAAUCCUGACUGGCCUGAAGCUCAAUAUGUAGAUCACAGAAAUCUACCUGCCUCUGCCUCCAAAGUGCUGGAUUAUAGGCCUGCACCACUACCCCCAACUCCAGGAGCCCAAUGAAAAGAGUCCUGGAUUUAAGAAAGGGGAGACUUCAGGGCUAUGGGUUGUGGAUCUUGAGGCAAGAAUGGCUUUGGAUAAGGGAGAAGCAUAUGGAAAUUCCAGCAGGAUCUUGGAAUCAACACCUGUACCUGGGUAUGGAUCUACUUUGAUUUUGACCCUAGGCUCUUUCUUGAUACCCAGAACCAUUAGGGAAAUACCUGAGUCUAGGAUAGGAACAUAGGAUCCGGGAAAGGUGGGGAAGACAGAAGCCCUAUUUCAAAGGAAACUUGCACAGUACUAGAGACAAUAUCUGGGGGUCACAGUCAUCAGAGGGUCUGUCUAGUUCUUGAGGAAUGAUUAUAACAACCACCAAAAUAGUAGAGAAGUUCUAAUUUACAAAAGCACCCCCCCAUUCCUAUCCAGAUCCUUAGGAAAGGCCACCAGGCUCACUGGCUCAUGGCUGUUGUAAUUUACAAAAGUUCCCUAUUUUAUAUAUGGAUGCACUGAGAAUAGGACACAGGGUAGCAUGGGGGCCACAUACGUAAAAACCCUGCAAACCAAAACCAUCAAAAUCUUCCUUAGCCUACAGUUCCUCUUUCUCUUUCUAGACUUCUUUUCCCAGCCAGUGGAAAGAGAACAUGGAGCGGGUAAUAACUGGGGUGUGUGGUCAGCGGACUGAUGCCAGCAUUGCCAGGGUUUGCUAUUAGCUGGAGAGGGACUUAGGUAAGCAUCCAGCAUGGGGAACAGAAGAGGACCCUGGGAUGCUAAGGGUAGCCACAGAGAAGGGAAUAGUCCACAGUUCUCCCACACUGAAAAUUGUUUAGAAUAAUUAGGGUAGUUACCUUUUGAUAAAUAUGUACCUCAGGAAGAUCAUAUGUAUCCCAUCUGUGGAAUGUUAGCCACUAUAGAGUUGUGGUGACCCCAACCUCACUGAGAUUGCCAAGAUCACGAAGGAGUUGUAAUUCAACUUGCUUUUCUCUUCGUUGCCUGGCCCAGCUUAUUCUGGGACAGGGUGGGUGCUGAGAUUGGGAUCUGCAGUGGACAAAAGACAAGACACCAGCAGUUGCUAUGUCAGUAUUAAGCAGAUCCAGGAGGGAGGAGGAUGGGGUUGGCAUUGAGAUUGUCCCCAGGAAGCACUAGGGCAGAAAGAACUUAGCACUAAACUUAGCAACAAGGGGAUUUUAGUAGAAUCAGUUCUUAGGCUAAGAGGGACCUUGAGAGUGGAGGUAAGCUGUCACUGAAUUGCCUGAAUUGAAGGCAUAAGAUCAGCAUCAUACAGUCUCUGGAUUUGGUUCCAGCAGAUUCUGACAUAAACAUGAGGUACUUGCUGAGACUGACCUCAGCUAGACCCUGGGAGGGACCUCUGGUGGACACUGGCAGGCUUUGAUGGAUGGACCAUUCAUGGUGGUGCCCUAGCCUAGCUUUUGACAGGUGGAGGUGGGUGAGGCUGGAACUCCCAUGUCUGGCAUGUUGCUCAUCUCAUUUUAGGCUGUUGGACUCUGAGACCUGUGGGAGAGAAACAAAGGGCAGAAGAAAGCUGUUUGUUGAUUUUGGAGGAGAAAGAGGCGGGGAAUGGGAUUAGCCUAGGCUUGGCAGGUGGCAAUCUCCCUUUUAUCCUUAUCACCAGCCUGCACCUGCACCAGCCCGAGCCUGGACCUCUUCCCCCCCACCCCCCCACCGCUGCUUCCACUUGAAUAGGAGAAAGGGAGCAAUUUGGAGAAUUUGUUUCUCAGUGAGGGUGGCACCAGGAAGGACCCCAAGUGUUCAGGCAGGCUCCCAUGUUCUGUACAGGGGGUGGAAGUGGGAGGGCCAGAAUGGGAACUGAGCUUAAAGAGCUCAAGAGAGAUCAAGUGUAUUUGCUCUUAAUGAUUUUUGCGGGCCCAUGAAUGUUAGAGCAGAAACUAAAGUCACGUGGGAGAGACACUGGCACGCGAACGAGGGAUGGGUGCCUACAGUCACCUGGAAGAGACAUGUGCAAGUGGCAGUGCCUCAAGACAGGCUUCCAGAGUGAGUUAGUGGUGAUGCAGAAAAUCCCCUUUGAUGGACCUCAGUUACCCUUUCUGGUUGAGUGAUUAAGAGCAAGAGUAAGGCACAAAAUGGAACCCUGUCUUGGGCAGAUACCACCCUCCACCACCUCACAAUCCAGUCAGUCUUCCCAAAUUCCUCUCUGCUGUUGUGUGUCCGUUAAGAGCUGACUUCAUUGACAACAUGAGUUUUAGGGGUUCAAGGACUGAGUUUAUGUACCUCUUGGUAGUAAUGUAUGAGUAAAUAUAUAAAACUAACAAAUAUUAGCUGUUUUAUCCAAGCGUUAUCGCAGCUUAUUAAUCUAUAAGAAAAAGGAGAUGGAUUGAUGUUACUCUAAGCCUCAAUCUGCCUUUUGCAAUCUCUGGUUUUCAUUGCAGCAUAGAGGGUCCAGCACUGGAAGACCAUUGUCAGGUGUUCUCCCCCAGAAUUCUCUGUCCCACACAUUCUAGCACUAGGAAAGUUAGCCAGCAAGGAGACAAUUUCCUGGUCAGUUCAAGAUUGACCUCUCUAUGUCCUGCAGCCAAAGUUGGUGGUGUCUUCAGCAACAGGGUCCUAACAUCUAGCUAUGGGGGGAAGGCAGAAGGCAGAACUAUAGCGAUAGCCUGUCUUGUUUUGAGUGCCUCCAGGACCAGAAGAGGGUGUCUGAGAAACCUCCCUCCCCAAUACUUCUAUACUGAAGUCAAACAUUACUGUCCUUCCACCCCUGAAGCUCUGAACAGGAAGUUUAUCCUGGGGGGCUGGUGCUCUAUUGGGCAAUUUUUGAGCAAACAUAGGUUAUUAUUAGAUGUUCAGACUGUUCUGGAUGGAGCUGGAGCCUGCCCAGGAUUUUGCCUUGAUGUCUGUCUUCUCUCCUCAUCCCCAAGAGUCCUCUGUGUUUAUGGAUAUCUUCAUGUUAUGAUCAUUUUGACUAGUAAAUUAUGACAGGUGCUUCUGCCCUGACAAGCUUUGUUUACACAUUCUUCUGUGUGAAUUAUUUUGAGUACAUGUUUGUGGUCUCUGUGGGAAUGCAUGUUGCAACAUGAUUGUAUUAGUUACUAUUCUGUUGCUGUGGUAAGACACCAUGACCAAGACAAAGAGUUGAAAUACUCCCAUGGGACAUGUGUGUCCUAGAUCCCGAAGACUCUUUACUUCCCACUGAACAUAUUCAGAAAUUCUCUCAAAGAUUCGUUCCUGGGAUAUUGCCUCCAACACCUAUAAGCCAGUCAAUAUUUUCAGUAGUCAUUGAACUAGUGUUCACUGAACGGUGUCAGUUCUGUGCUGAGGGAUACAGGGGUGUUCACAGGCCUUGGGCCCGGCUUCACUGAAGGCUUUUGACCAAGGAUCCAGGAGACAUUGGUCACCAGUGACAGGUUAGAUGGAUGGUGACAUGGAGGGAAGCCACAGGGGAUCGGACUGAAUAGGGAAGAAAUACUUGUCUGUAGGAAGCCAGAAAUGGCAACGGACUCAACCUUGUGUGUUUACGGAAGACCACCAGAAGGAGCAGUUGGGAUGUCUUAUUGGGAGAGUAGACAAAGUUAGGAGAUAGUGUUCCAGACAGAAGCAACAGCAUUCACGAGGGACCUACAUGCUUGGCUGAGUGAAAUUAGAGAUACGAGGAUGUAUUGAUGCCAAGGCCUGGGCCACACGUGAAAGCCAGAUCACAUGGUGCUUUAGGUAAUGUAGUGAGGGGCCUGGGGUUCAUCUUGAAGCAACAGGGAGCCAAGGGGAUGUCUAAUGAGAGUAAAAAGAUGGUCACAUUCGUGUUUGAGGAAGAUCCUUCAGUUUUCUGGGAUGGGAUAAUAGUGGAGACUGUCAAGCGAGGGAGUGUGUGCUGCAGGCAUCCCGAUGUGAGUGUGGGGAUGGAACCUGCCUGGAGAAAGGCCGAGGAGGGACAAUUCACCAUUACUUCGGUACAUCCUGCCUAUGUGGGUGAUAGCUGGGAGUGUGUCAUUUAGACUUGAAGGCACAGAACAAGGUCAGGUUGGAGGCAAGGCAUGAUGGGUUUAGCUUGGGACAGCCUGACAAACCAGACUAAGUCACUUCCAGGGAUCUUGAAGCAGAGCAAACACAGAGGAAUCAGUCUUAGAUGGUCCUAUUAUUCUUUCUUAUUACUUGUAAUAACGGACCACGGAGGACUGAGGCUUGGGAAGGUGUUCCAAGGACAGCCCUGUGGGAAAUGCUUCUUGGAGAAUGGGUUCUCCAGGGAGGAGGGGAAAGACGAACUCUAGUAGACUCAUUCCCAUUCGAGCCGGGUCUCAGACAUGAGGGGAGUGAAACAGAACAGAACGGGUGCUUGACGGUCACCCCUCCCCCACGCUGCCCCCACUCACUUUAAUCUCAUCUGUUAACUUCCUGUCUGC